rnacentral:rRNA from 1 species
AAAGGAAUUGACGGGGGCCCGCACAAGCGGUGGAUGAUGUGGAUUAAUUCGAUGCAACGCGAAGAACCUUACCUGCUCUUGACAUGCCAGGAACCUUGGAGAGAUUUGAGGGUGCCCGAAAGGGAAUCUGGACACAGGUGCUGCAUGGCUGUCGUCAGCUCGUGUCGUGAGAUGUUGGGUUAAGUCCCGCAACGAGCGCAACCCUUAUCAUUAGUUGCUACGCAAGGGCACUCUAAUGAGACUGCCGGUGACAAACCGGAGGAAGGUGGGGAUGACGUCAAGUCCUCAUGGCCCUUAUGAGCAGGGCUUCACACGUCAUACAAUGGUCGGUACAGAGGGUUGCCAACCCGCGAGGGGGAGCCAAUCCCACAAAGCCGAUCGUAGUCCGGAUCGCAGUCUGCAACUCGACUGCGUGAAGUCGGAAUCGCUAGUAAUCGCGGAUCAGCAUGUCGCGGUGAAUACGUUCCCGGGCCUUGUACACACCGCCCGU